UACGUAGGGACCGAGCGUUGUCCGGAAUCAUUGGGCGUAAAGAGCGUGUAGGCGGCCACUUAAGUCCUGCGUGAAAUCUUGCGGCUCAACCGCAAGCGGUCGUGGGAAACUGGGUGGCUAGAGUGCGGGAGAGGAGAGUGGAAUUCCUGGUGUAGCGGUGGAAUGCGCAGAUAUCAGGAGGAACACCGGUGGUGUAAACGGCUUUCUGGACCAUAACUGACGCUGAGGCACGAAAGCGUGGGUAGCAAACAGG
rnacentral:rRNA from 1 species